AAUCAACGCUGGCGGCGUGCCUCAGACAUGCAAGUCGAACGCGAAAGGUUCCUUCGGGGACCGAGUAGAGUGGCGCACGGGUGAGUAACACGUAGGUAAUUUGCCUUUGGGUGGGAAUAACAGCCGGAAACGGCUGCUAAUACCGCAUAAUGCAGCGGCUCGACAUCGAGACAGUUGUUAAAGCGGGGAUCGCAAGACCUCGCGCCUAAAGAGAAGCCUGCGGCAGAUUAGCUAGUUGGUAGGGUAAUGGCCUACCAAGGCGACGAUCUGUAACCGGCCUGAGAGGGCGGUCGGUCACACUGACACUGAAUAACGGGUCAGACUCCUACGGGAGGCAGCAGUCGGGAAUUUU
rnacentral:rRNA from 1 species